rnacentral:rRNA from 1 species
AUUGAACGCUGGCGGCAUGCUUUACACAUGCAAGUCGAACGGUAACAGGGAGCUUGCUCCGCUGACGAGUGGCGAACGGGUGAGUAAUGCAUCGGAACGUACCCAGUCGUGGGGGAUAACGUAGCGAAAGUUACGCUAAUACCGCAUACGAUCUAUGGAUGAAAGCGGGGGAUCGCAAGACCUCGCGCGAUUGGAGCGGCCGAUAUCAGAUUAGGUAGUUGGUGGGGUAAAGGCCCACCAAGCCGACGAUCUGUAGCUGGUCUGAGAGGACGACCAGCCACACUGGAACUGAGACACGGUCCAGACUCCUACGGGAGGCAGCAGUGGGGAAUUUUGGACAAUGGGCGCAAGCCUGAUCCAGCAAUGCCGCGUGCAGGAUGAAGG